rnacentral:rRNA from 1 species
UGAGUACGAGACGCUAAGGCGUCGAAGUAGUGGAUGUCAUACUUCCAAGAAAAGCUUGCACUGUCAUAAAUAAGAAACGCCUGUACCAUAACCGACACAGGUGGGUAGGUAGAGUAUACUAAGGGGCGCGAGAUAACUCUCUCUAAGGAACUCGGCAAAAUAACUCCGUAACUUCGGGAGAAGGAGUGCCUUAUUCGUAAGGCUGCAAUAACAAGAUCCAAGCAACUGUUUAUCAAAAACACAGGUCUCCGCUAAGUCGUAAGACGAUGUAUGGGGGCUGACGCCUGCCCAGUGCCAGAAGGUUAAAGAAGUCGGUUAGCAUUAGCGAAGCUGGUAACUGAAGCCCUGGUGAACGGCGGCCGUAACAAUAACGGUCCUAAGGUAGCGAAAUUCCUUGUCGGGUAAGUUCCGACCCGCACGAAAGGCGUAAUGAUUUGGAUACUGUCUCGGAGAGGGGCUCGGUGAAAUAGACUUGUCUGUGAAGAUGCGGACUACCUGCACCAGGACAGAAAGACCCUAUGAAGCUUUACUGUAACUUGAAAUUGAAAUUGGACUUUAUUCGCGCAGUAUAGGUGGGAGGUGUUGAUUAUAAUCUUGCGGGAUUAUUGGAGCCAUCAGUGAGAUACCACUCUUGUAAUGUUAGAUUUCUAACUUUGAAUCAUUAUCUGGUCAAAGAACAGUUUCAGGCGGGCAGUUUGACUGGGGCGGUCGCCUCCUAAAUGGUAACGGAGGCGUACAAAGGUUUCCUCUGAACGGGUAGAAAUCGUAUCUAGAGUGUAAAGGCAUAAGGAAGCUUGACUGUGAGACCUACAAGUCGAGCAGGGACGAAAGUCGGUCUUAGUGAUCUGACGGUACUGAGUGGAAAGGCCGUCACUCAACGGAUAAAAGUUACUCUAAGGAUAACAGGCUGAUCUCCCCCAAGAGUUCACAUCGACGGGGAGGUUUGGCACCUCGAUGUCGGCUCAUCGCAUCCUGGGGCGGUAGUACGUCCCAAGGGUUGGGCUGUUCGCCCAUGAAAGCGGUACGCGAGCUGGGUUCAGAACGUCGUGAGACAGUUCGGUCCAUAUCCGGUGUAGGCGUUAGAAUAUUGAGAGGAGCCUUCUUUAGUACGAGAGGACCGAGAAGGACAUACCUCUGGUGUACCAGUUAUCGUGCCAACGGUAAACGCUGGGUAGCUAUGUAUGGAGUGGAUAACCGCUGAAAGCAUCUAAGUGGGAAGCCCACCUCAAGAUAAGUAUUCUCAUC